rnacentral:misc_RNA from 1 species
ACAAUGGAACAGGAAUGGUGAAGGUAUGUAAUUGAAAUUUUUUUUUAUUGUGUUUGUAUUACUGAACAGUUUGGUAGAAUUUUAGAACUGAUUUAUUCCAUUUAGUCUUCUUAUUUUUCCCCCUUUUGGGUUGUUUCUGGAAGCUGUUCUGGGGAAACUGUGUCCAAAUUAUUUUUGGGAAAAGUAAUAGUUUUCAUUUGUUAAGAACAAAAGCCUCUCUCUCUAGAAACUAGAUCGAACAGGCUACUAUUUCUUAUGCUAUUAUUUUAUGCAUGCUAGUAAGCUAACUGGGUCUGCUUUUUAAAUAUUUCAUUUCUUUUUUGGGGAACU